AUUGAACGCUGGCGGCAUGCUUUACACAUGCAAGCCGAACGGCAGCGCGGGCUUCGGCCUGGCGGCGAGUGGCGAACGGGUGAGUAAUGCAUCGGAACGUGCCCAGUAGUUGGGGAUAGCCCGGCGAAAGCCGGAUUAAUACCGCAUACGACCUGAGGGUGAAAGCGGGGGACCGAAAGGCCUCGCGCUAUUGGAGCGGCCGAUGUCGGAUUAGCUAGUUGGUGGGGUAAAGGCUUACCAAGGCGACGAUCCGUAGCUGGUCUGAGAGGACGACCAGCCACACUGGGACUGAGACACGGCCCAGACUCCUACGGGAGGCAGCAGUGGGGAAUUUUGGACAAUGGGGGCAACCCUGAUCCAGCCAUGCCGCGUGCGGGAAGAAGGCCUUCGGGUUGUAAACCGCUUUUGUUCGGGAAGAAAUCCUCUGGGCUAAUACCCCGGGGGGAUGACGGUACCGGAAGAAUAAGCACCGGCUAACUACGUG
rnacentral:rRNA from 1 species